GACAGAGGCCUCGAGCGUUAGGCGGAAUCACUGGGCUUAAAGCGUGUGUAGGCGGAUCGUUAAGUGCCUUGUGAAAUCCCACGGCUUAACUGUGGAACGGCUGGGCAUACUGGCGGUCUUGAGCCAUCUAGGGGCGACUGGAACAAACGGUGGAGCGGUGAAAUGCGUAGAUAUCGUUGGAACGCCAAAGGUGAAAACAGGUCGCUGGGGAUGAGCUGACGCUGAGACACGAAAGCCAGGGAGGCAAACGGG
rnacentral:rRNA from 1 species